rnacentral:tRNA from 1 species
GGGAUUAUAGAUUAAUUGGUAAAUCUUACGCUUUGCAUGCGUAUGUUAUCGGUUCAAUUCCGAUUAAUUCCAG